rnacentral:rRNA from 2 species
UACGAAGGGUGCAAGCGUUACUCGGAAUUACUGGGCGUAAAGCGUGCGUAGGUGGUUCGUUAAGUCCGAUGUGAAAGCCCUGGGCUCAACCUGGGAAUGGCAUUGGAUACUGGCGGGCUAGAGUGCGGUAGAGGGCAGUGGAAUUCCCGGUGUAGCAGUGAAAUGCGUAGAGAUCGGGAGGAACAUCUGUGGCGAAGGCGACUGCCUGGACCAGCACUGACACUGAGGCACGAAAGCGUGGGGAGCAAACAGG